rnacentral:rRNA from 1 species
AACGAACGCUGGCGGCAUGCCUAACACAUGCAAGUCGAACGAGAUCUUCGGGUCUAGUGGCGCACGGGUGCGUAACGCGUGGGAAUCUGCCCUUUGGUUCGGAAUAACAGUUGGAAACGACUGCUAAUACCGGAUGAUGACGAAAGUCCAAAGAUUUAUCGCCAGAGGAUGAGCCCGCGUAGGAUUAGCUAGUUGGUGUGGUAAAGGCGCACCAAGGCGACGAUCCUUAGCUGGUCUGAGAGGAUGAUCAGCCAAACUGGGACUGAGACACGGCCCAGACUCCUACGGGAGGCAGCAGUGGGGAAUAUUAGACAAUGGGCGAAAGCCUGAUCCAGCAAUGCCGCGUGAGUGAUGAAGGCCUUAGGGUUGUAAAGCUCUUUUACCCGGGAUGAUAAUGACAGUACCGGGAGAAUAAGCUCCGGCUAACUCCGUGCCAGCAGCCGCCGUAA